CACGUAGGGUGCGAGCGUUGUCCGGAAUUAUUGGGCGUAAAGAGCUCGUAGGCGGUGUGUCGCGUCGGCCGUGAAAACCUGCAGCUUAACUGUGGGCUUGCGGUCGAUACGGGCAUCACUGGAGUUCGGCAGGGGAGACUGGAAUUCCUGGUGUAGCGGUGAAAUGCGUAGAUAUCAGGAGGAACACCUGUGGCGAAAGCGGCGCACUGGACCACAACUGACGCUGAGGCGCGAAAGCGUGGGGAGCAAACAGG
rnacentral:rRNA from 1 species